CAUUGCUUACAGAUUAAUAGAUUUAUU
rnacentral:guide_RNA from 1 species